UCACCUCUGGGAUGGUAGCUGUCAGGACGGGGCAGAUGAGAAGGGCUGCUCGUGUUCUUUCCUGCUCUGCGAGGACACGCACGGGUCGUGCAGACACGCUUCGUAGCCACGCCCGUCACUAGGGCUUAUUUUCAGGGUGGGGCUUCUAUUGCGCACAUGCUUAGAAAUCCUGCUAGGGCUUAUUUUAUGGGUAGGUCUCAUUUUCAGGAAACACGGUAGUGCUUCAGUGCUUCAACUUUUCAGGGGAAAAGUUCUCUUAGUUCUAAAAUGGAUCCAAUUAGGACCUCCUGCUUGGAGCUCACAGAACCACAUGUAGAACAAACGAAUGACUGAAGUUUCGCGAAUUCGGUUGGGCAAAUGUGGGGGAAGGGCAGCGGUGAUGACGAGCUGGAAGGAAGGAGGCGCAGACGUGAGUGGGGUAGAGGGGGCGAGGGUGGCGGGAGGAAGUGCAAAGGAAACUCAUGGCCGAAAGGUUUCGCGCUGUCUGUGCUUUCUCCCUUCAGGUGAGGCCCUGCCAUCAUUUUCAAAGACAGCCAAAGAAAGAAACUCCAGAGGACAAAAAAAAUCAAGAUCACAAAACCGAGUCAGGCAUGAAGCCUAAGUAAAUGCUUCUCGAGACGCAGAUUAAUUCUCACCGCUUUGUUAUCCCAGAAAUGUGACUUGAGAAGAAACAUGGGUGGGAGAAAGCUCUCCCAGGUUUAGCGCUGAUUGUGAGGAACUCCUGGCACCCGGACCAUACAUGCCAUUCCAGAGAAAUUCCAUCUUCACUGAUGUAACAGGAUGUCAGAACGGGGCCGCUCCGGCCUCUGCCGCAACGGAGACCCAGCGUGGCGGUCACCAGUCCCCGUGCGCGUGUGAGACAGAGUGAGCCACAGAAAUUGAGGGAAAAAUCGACUAUCCAAUUCAGGCAAGAAUACAAGGAUUUGGGCUUUCUACUAUACAGCCUGGUGGAAGGAUACAUUUGAAUAACCUUUUGGACAACAAUGUUUGCAAUACCUCAGCUUCCCCUUGGAGCAGUCUGCCUGUUCCCCCGAUGAAGACAGGGAGGCAACGUGUUUCAUGCCGUUGGUUUUCCCCGUAACGCCCGGUCAUCCUCGGCGGGGGGCCGGCCUUGUGGAUGAAGACCCAGGAUGGCAGGCUGAGUAACGCGGCAUGUUUCCCCGGCAACGGUAAGCAUCUUACUUCUCUGCGGGUUCUCCGUAGUGAGAGUGGGGUUUUCGCAGGGGCAGAUACUCCUGCUAGACCCCGACCCCCAAGUCGUCCAGGCAGAGGGGGAUGCACUUGGGGACAGCGUGGUGGCUUCUGUUCUGCGUGGCCUCCAGGGGGCAGCCGACUCCGGUGGCCCACGUGAUGAUCCGGCACUGCACUCUAGCCCGGGAGACAGCGCGAGACCCUGUCUCUUAAAAAAUGGUACCUAGUUUUUUUAAGCACUAUUUCUUGUUACUCUAAAACAGCCUUAUUACCAAACAUCUGACAGACGGUAGAAAAAGGAAAAUAAAAUUCACUACAUGGUCCCAUAAUUACAUAUAUUGAUAUAUAUGUAUAUAUCAAUAAACACUACUACUAUAGGCAGUCUCUAAUAAUUCUCUACAAUCUCUAAUAAUAUCAUAACAUUAUCUUUUUCUACUCCUUUUUAUUCAUGCCUUGAAUUAGGGGUAUGUGACAAAAGGGAGAAUAUUUUUAAAAUAUGCUUUGGAGUUUGCAUAAGCUUCACUUCAAGGGAGAGAAUUCUCUGUUGGGAACACGUAGGUGUCGGAUGAUUCCCAGGCUUCGGGGGGGGGAACAUUCCCCUAUCUGUUACAGUGAGAAUAAUUCGGACCUUCUAUUGCAACGUGGAGAGGCAGAGGUGGGUGGGGGGAGGGGAACGGGAGAUGGGAGAGGCCAAGACCGGGCGGGACCGAUCAGAAGCCGGCCGUGCCAGCAUGGUCCCCACUGGAAAAGGGGGCGUGCCGACCCCAGACGGCAUGAGGCGGCGUCGUGAGGGGACUGGAUUCCAGAGUGUGAGGAAAUCCAAGGGCUGGUGGCCCCCGGGCUGUGAAGCAAGGCUGUCAUGGCUCUCAGCCCUACAGGGGCGAACGCGGGUCAGCUUCCUGAGCACAGAAGGAAGGGACCUCACUGCAUGGAGACCGCCGUCCAAUCUCGAGGGCCACGGCAACUGCAUAGGGGGACAAGGGGAGGCUGGGGGCCUCCGUGCCUCCUCCUGCCCGCCGACGCGCCCAGGCUCCCCGGGAGCCGCUGCAGCCCAUAGGUGAGCAUCUCGGGCCGGACGGGCGCAGAGAAGAGGGAGGGUCUGUCCACGGGAGAGACCCAGUGGGGGGAUGGCCGGCCGGGUGGCAAGGCCAGGCUGGUGAUGCCUCGCAUUUAAAUCCUCGUGUUUUGAUGAUCUGAACACAGUUUUUGUGGCAGCUUCAACCAAAAAAAAAAUGUAUAAAAUUUCUUUUCUGAUCCGUUAAGCAAGGCUUUGUGAAGGCAUUCAGAACCCCAAAGACGUGCUAUCUUCACGUCUAUACCCAUGCUCAAGCCAUGAGGAGCCAAUCCCAGAACACGACUCUUAUGAGAUGACUUGGCCCUUCAGAGGGACGGCUGUUGGCUAGCUGGCACCAUGAGCACAUGGGCAUCUGUUCACAGAUGGCGAGACAGAGGCCGUGACCGGCUGGCAAAAUAGGAGACGCGGGCAUGUGAACUUCCUUCCCCUGGAAGUCCGACUUGGGGCCAUCUGAGGCAUGGGUGCUGCGAUGGUCCCUGGCACUCACUGUCUCCAGCUCUCUGUCCUCAUUUCUUCUUGGAUCCAGUUCUCCCACCGUCUGCUUCCAAUCCUCCACCAAGUCCCUUUCUGAUUCCUUGUGUUUUUUUUGAGACAGAGUCUCACUCUAUUGCCUGGGCAAGAGUGCC